UGCGUAGGCGGGCUUGUAAGUCAGUGGUGAAAUACUGCCGCUUAACGGUAGAACUGCCAUUGAUACUGCAAGUCUUGAAUAUGGUUGAGGUAGGCGGAAUGUGUCGUGUAGCGGUGAAAUGCAUAGAUAUGACACAGAACGCCAAUUGCGAAGGCAGCUUACUAAGCCAUUAUUGACGCUGAGGCACGAAAGCGUGGGGAGCGAACAGGAUUAGAUACCCUGGUAGUCC
rnacentral:rRNA from 1 species